UAACUUAAAAAUUGAAUAUUAAAAAAUAAAAUUUUAAGAUUUUUAGAUAAAUAAUUGAAUUUUAAAUCAAGCUCAUUUCUAAUUUCAUUUCUAAUUACAAAAAGUAAUUUCCUAUAAGUGACAUGCCUAAUCAAUUAUCAGUAUUAGAUAAACUGGUUUUAAAAAUUCGAGUUUAUUCAUAUAGAGAAUCUAGAAGAGGGGAUUAACCGCUUUGAAUCCCCACCGAUUAAAAAUUCGUUAAAACACCUUUUUUUUUCUCUCCCUUCUUCAUUCUCUCUCUGUUAUUGCAUCCGUAUGGGGUGUACGAUCGAAAUCCUUUUUCCAGUAUAUUUAUUUUAAUGGCAGUCGUACACAUGCGGUGACUAUGGUACGAACAGAGUUGACAGGUGCCUGGACAAAAAAGCGUGGUCGAGAGCGAGCAUAGUAUGUAUAAUGUAAGCAUAGAGGGCUGGCAGGCCACAUGUGCCACUCUAUCACUUAUCUACCCGUAAUAUGACGUAUAACUCGACCAUAAGAUGCAACUGUGAACGCAUGUGUAUAUAUGUAUGCGUGAAUGCACAGUCAAGAUACGUGUAUAUAUAUAGGGAUGAGUAGGAGGAUGAACGGACACGUUUCUGUAUGUAUGUGCUUGGAAGAAAGCAUCCGAAGAUCGUGAUGUCACGAGAACUGCUUUGGAAUCAUAACAAUGCGUUUUGGACAAUAUUGAUGAAUUGCAAAUGAUGACAUUGGUGAUAGUAACAAUAAUGCUUAUGAAAUUAUACAUAAAUGAAACUUGGUAUAUUUAAUAAGUGAACUAUUAAAGUAAAAAUUACAAUUAAUUGAAUAAAUUAAUUUUUUGGUUGUUUACGUUAAUAUUUGUCAAUGAUUUAAGGAUAUGUAAAGAACUUCAUAUAAUCUUCAAGCCUCAUAUAUUCAGCAUCCUUAAAUCAAGAAUAUCACAUUUAUAUCAAGAAUUUAAAAAUAUCCUAGUAUAUUCAAAACAUGAAUUAUAUUCCCAAUCAAGCAUAUUUAUGUGAAAAUUCAUGAUGCAAUUGAGGAAGAGGGAAACAAAGAAAUCGGUAAAAUAAUAGUAGACUGUAAUAAAAAGAAGGAGUGAACGACUUAUCCUCAUAUGUGCGCGCAAAGCUGUUGUUAAUAAGUGACGCGUGUGCGGCAGCUGGUUUUACGUUUUUUGCCUUGCACCCGAUUCUCGGGGUUCGAGCGACGAAAGAUCGACCUAAGCACCCCCUUCUCUGCUAUUUUCCCUGUUUCUGUCUCUUGCCUGAGUUCUGUCUGUUGCCUGAGUACUCGAUUUGGAAUAUUUCUUAACAGAUUUUUAUAGAGACACGCGACAUGCAACAGAAUCAA